AUACGGAGGAUCCAAGCGUUAUCCGGAUUUAUUGGGUUUAAAGGGUGCGCAGGCGGGAUAAUAAGUCAGUGGUGAAAGUUUGCAGCUUAACUGUAAAAUUGCCGUUGAAACUGUUAUUCUUGAGUGCAGACAAGGUAGGCGGAAUGUAUUGUGUAGCGGUGAAAUGCUUAGAUAUAAUACAGAACCCCGAUUGCGAAGGCAGCUUACCGGACUGUAACUGACGCUCAGGCACGAAAGCGUGGGGAUCAAACAGGAUUAGAUACCCUGGUAGUCCACGCAGUAAACGAUGAAUACUAGCUGUUCGCGAUAUACAGCGAGUGGCACAGCGAAAGCGUUAAGUAUUCCACCUGGGGAGUACGUUCGCAAGAAUGAAACUCAAAGGAAUUGACGGGG
rnacentral:rRNA from 1 species